rnacentral:rRNA from 1 species
GGUGGCUAUAGUGCCGGGGUUCCACCUCUUCCCAUUCCGAACAGAGAAGUUAAGCCCGACCGCGCCGAUGGUACUGCGUAACAGUGGGAGAGUAGGUAGCCGCCG